rnacentral:rRNA from 1 species
CAGUCGCCACGGGAAUACGUAGGUGGCAAGCGUUGUCCGGAAUUAUUGGGCGUAAAGCGCGCGCAGGUGGUUUAAUAAGUCUGAUGCGAAAGCCCACGGCUCAACCGUGGAGGGUCAUUGGAAACUGUUAAACUUGAGUGCAGGAGAGAAAAGUGGAAUUCCUAGUGUAGCGGUGAAAUGCGUAGAGAUUAGGAGGAACACCAGUGGCGAAGGCGGCUUUUUGGCCUGUAACUGACACUGAGGCGCGAAAGCGUGGGGAGCAAACAGGAUUAGAUACCCCCGUAGUCCCUGUCUCUUAUAA